CGCGGGAUGGAGCAGCUGGUAGCUCGUCGGGCUCAUAACCCGAAGGUCGUAGGUUCAAGUCCUGCUCCCGCAACCACAAAAGGUUC
rnacentral:tRNA from 1 species